UACGUAGGGAGCAAGCGUUGUCCGGAAUCAUUGGGCGUAAAGCGCGCGUAGGUGGCCUCAUAAGUCCGCUGUGAAAGUCAAAGGCUCAACCUUUGAAAGCCGGUGGAUACUGUGAGGCUAGAGUACGGAAGAGGCGAGUGGAAUUCCUGGUGUAGCGGUGGAAUGCGCAGAUAUCAGGAGGAACACCAGUGGCGAAGGCGAGUCCCUGGACAACACCUGACACUGAGGCACGAAAGCUAGGGGAGCAAACAGG
rnacentral:rRNA from 1 species